GACCGGCCACACUGGGACUGAGACACGGCCCAGACUCCUACGGGAGGCAGCAGUGGGGAAUAUUGCACAAUGGGCGAAAGCCUGAUGCAGCGACGCCGCGUGAGGGAUGACGGCCUUCGGGUUGUAAACCUCUUUCAGCAGGGACGAAGCGCAAGUGACGGUACCUGCAGAAGAAGCACCGGCUAACUACGUGCCAGCAGCCGCGGUAAUACGUAGGGUGCAAGCGUUGUCCGGAAUUACUGGGCGUAAAGAGUUCGUAGGCGGUUUGUCGCGUCGUUUGUGAAAACCAGCAGCUCAACUGCUGGCUUGCAGGCGAUACGGGCAGACUUGAGUACUGCAGGGGAGACUGGAAUUCCUGGUGUAGCGGUGAAAUGCGCAGAUAUCAGGAGGAACACCGGUGGCGAAGGCGGGUCUCUGGGCAGUAACUGACGCUGAGGAACGAAAGCGUGGGUAGCGAACAGGAUUAGAUACCCUGGUAGUCCACGCCGUAAACGGUGGGCGCUAGGUGUGGGUUCCUUCCACGGAAUCCGUGCCGUAGCUAACGCAUUAAGCGC
rnacentral:rRNA from 1 species